UAAUACGUAGGUGGCGAGCGUUAUUCGGAUUCACUGGGCGUAAAGGGUCCGCAGGGGGUCUGCCAAGUCUGAUGUGAAAUCUCAUGGCUCAACUGUGAAACUGCAUUGGAUACUGGUGAACUUGAGUGCACGAGGGGUGAGCGGAAUUCCGGGUGUAGCGGUGGAAUGCGUAGAUAUCCGGAGGAACACCGAUGGCGAAGGCGGCUCACUGGCGUGCUACUGACCCUCAGGGACGAAAGCAUGGGGAGCAAACAGGAUUAGAUACCCUGGUAGUCCAUGCUGUAAACGUUGUGCACUAGAUGUGGGGAGUACUUUUGGUCCUCUCCGUGUCCCAGCUAACGCGUUAAGUGCACCGCCUGGGGACUACGGCCGCAAGGCUA
rnacentral:rRNA from 1 species